rnacentral:rRNA from 1 species
UACGUAGGGGGCUAGCGUUGUCCGGAUUUAUUGGGCGUAAAGAGCGUGUAGGCGGCCAGGUAGGUCUGCUGUGAAAACUCGAGGCUCAACCUCGAGACGUCGGCGGAAACCAUCUGGCUAGAGUCCGGAAGAGGAGAAUGGAAUUCCCGGUGUAGCGGUGAAAUGCGCAGAUAUCGGGAAGAACACCCGUGGCGAAGGCGGUUCUCUGGGCCUGUACUGACGCUGAGGAGCGAAAGCGUGGGGAGCGAACAGG